rnacentral:rRNA from 1 species
CAGCAGCCACGGGAAUACGAAGGGUGCAAGCGUUACUCGGAAUUACUGGGCGUAAAGCGUGCGUAGGUGGUGGUUUAAGUCCGUUGUGAAAGCCCUGGGCUCAACCUGGGAAUUGCAGUGGAUACUGGGUCACUAGAGUGUGGUAGAGGAUAGUGGAAUUUCCGGUGUAGCAGUGAAAUGCGUAGAGAUCGGAAGGAACAUCUGUGGCGAAGGCGACUAUCUGGGCCAACACUGACACUGAGGCACGAAAGCGUGGGGAGCAAACAGGAUUAGAUACCCCUGUAGUCCCUGUCUCUUAUCU